rnacentral:misc_RNA from 1 species
GAUGAAGAACGUAGCGAAAUGCGAUAAGUAAUGUGAAUUGCAGAAUUCAGUGAAUCAUCGAAUCUUUGAACGCACAUUGCGCCCGCCAGUAUUCUGGCGGGCAUGCCUGUUCGAGCGUCAUUUCAACCAUCAAGCCCCCGGCUUGUGUUGGGGACCUGCGGCUGCCGCAGGCCCUGAAAACCAGUGGCGGGCUCGUUGUCACACCGAGUGCAGUAAUCAUUCUUCUCUCCGGGCGUGGCGGCGGGUUCCGGCCGUAAAACCACCAAUCUAUCAAGGUUGACCUCGGAUCAGGUAGGAAUACCCGCUGAACUUAAGCAUAUCAAUAAGCGGAGGA